AUCGCUUUUCGGCCUUUUGGCUCAGAUCAAGUGUAGUAUCUGUUUUUAUCAGUUUAAUAUCUGAUACGUCCCCCAUCGGGGGACUACAUAUUAAAUGGAUUUUUCGAACAGGGAGUCGGAAAUGGGGCUUGCUCCGUCCGCUCCACGCAUCGACCCGGUAUUGCAGUACCUCCGGGAAUGGUGCAACACUU
rnacentral:snRNA from 8 species